UUCCAAUUCUAAUCACAAACUAAGCACCCCCUAAGUGUCUUAGAGUUGGGCCAAGGAUCAAGGAUGGCCAAGAAAAUCAUUAACGAAAGAACAACUAUAUGCGAGGAUCAGUUGACUAAACAUAUCUACUUGAUGGGCAACCUUGGAGGCUAAUGUUGUGGUAGGUGUGAGCAGAUACUAGACAUACAAUGUUGGGCGGUAUGGCUGCAACCUUCACGGUAGUGGCAGUAUGCGGUGAUAUGCAAAUAGGCCAUAAACAUUGCCGAGUAGUAUGGCCAUAAAUUGGAAGACAUGCUAAGGAUGCAAGAUCAAGAUUAUUGCACAAAAGCUUGUAGGGAAGCUUGGAUAGCAUAACUCGGAAGGGCUCAGGUAUGCAUGAUCAACCACAGCUUCAAGGAGCUAUAGGCAUGUCGGCUUGGCUAUAGCAUUACUAAAUAUGCAUUUGCCUGAACCUCUUGCAUAGUAGUGGAGUUUCAUGAUUGUCAUGUGGAUUUUAUCCAUGUAUUCCCGAAAUAUAGUAUGGUGGCUUGUGGGUCGGUGGCAUAGUAGCUAUGUCGUGGUAUGAAAUUACUUUUGAGAAUUGGGGUAUCAUGAGUGAAUGAUACUUGGCAUGGGAGGCGA
rnacentral:lncRNA from 1 species